UUCUCUAUAUAUUGUUGGACUAGUACCUAUAAGUGGUUUGUCCUAAAUGCAUCACCUUUGUGGCCGAUGUGGGCAGUGUUAGGUUCAUUUUUUGAACUUGCUGUUAGCGCAUCUUUUAUU
rnacentral:misc_RNA from 1 species